CAACAACAAAGCAAAUAAGACAACAGCGCCCACACGACCUAACCAAGAAGAGUGCGACCCCAACCCCUUCAAUUGGGAUAGAAUACUCCCACUACACGAAAGAGGGCGAGGCCCCAACAAGCUGACACAGGAAAGUGACGCCUCAUAUAACGAACCCCGCAAAUAAGCAACACUAAAAGAUCAGACGGGACAAACCGCAUAGAGACCCUAUCCAAACCCUACCCUAACACGGAUAUGACAGGCAGAUCACAGGGGCUCCUCAUACACUACAUCAUCAACCCCGGGAAAGAGCCCACGAAGACAAGCGCGGGGAUAAGGACCACCACCCCAUACGAGACACACACAAAGUCAACCAGCCUAAGACGAUCCCAAACCUGAUGGGGCGCAGACAUGCACAACCACAACCUGCACUCUCACAUAAGCACACCAUGCUGAUCAACCACAUGUUCUACCAAGUCACAUAAAUAACAAGGACAUGUUCAGCUAUGUCUUAUUACCUCUGUUAAUUUUAUGUUUAAAUAUUGAAAAGUUGACAAUGAACAGCACAACAACUGUAAUCAUGAAACAUGCACC